rnacentral:rRNA from 1 species
CUUGACUGUAUCCUGGAAUGGGGUUCGGGCUUUUCUUGCGCAGCCUAGGUGGGAGGCUUUGAAGGUUUCCUUCUGGGGAAGCUGGAGCCAUCAGUGAGAGACCACUCUGGAAAGGCUAGAAUCCUAAUGGUGAUCCUUGAAUCAGGACACUUGACAGUUUCAGGUGGGCAGUUUGUUUGGGGCGAACGCCUCCUAAAAGGUAACGGAGGCGUGCAAAGGUUCCCUCAGUCUGGACGGAAAUCAGACGUGGAGUGUAAAGGCAGAAGGGAGCUUGACUGCAAGACCUACAAGUCGAGCAGGGGCGAAAGCCGGCCUUAGUGAUCCGACGGUGCCGCGUGGAAGGGCCGUCGCUCAACGAAUAAAAGUUA